UUUAAUGAGAGUUUGAUCCUGGCUCAGGACGAACGCUGGCGGCGUGCCUAAUACAUGCAAGUGGAACGCAUGAUUGAUACCGGAGCUUGCUCCACCAUUAAUCAUGAGUCGCGAACGGGUGAGUAACGCGUAGGUAACCUACCUCAUAGCGGGGGAUAACUAUUGGAAACGAUAGCUAAUACCGCAUAACAGUAUUUAUCACAUGGUAAAUGCUUGAAAGGAGCAAUUGCUUCACUAUGAGAUGGACCUGCGUUGUAUUAGCUAGUUGGUGGGGUAACGGCUCACCAAGGCAUCGAUACAUAGCCGACCUGAGAGGGUGAUCGGCCACACUGGGACUGAGACACGGCCCAGACUCCUACGGGAGGCAGCAGUAGGGAAUCUUCGGCAAUGGGGGGAACCCUGACCGAGCAACGCCGCGUGAGUGAAGAAGGUUUUCGGAUCGUAAAGCUCUGUUGUAAGAGAAGAACGUGUGUGAGAGUGGAAA
rnacentral:rRNA from 1 species